rnacentral:rRNA from 1 species
AUUGAACGCUGGCGGCAGGCUUAACACAUGCAAGUCGAGCGGAGCGAGGGUGCUUGCACCUUAGCUUAGCGGCGGACGGGUGAGUAAUGCUUAGGAAUCUGCCUAUUAGUGGGGGACAACAUUCCGAAAGGAAUGCUAAUACCGCAUACGCCCUACGGGGGAAAGCAGGGGAUCUUCGGACCUUGCGCUAAUAGAUGAGCCUAAGUCGGAUUAGCUAGUUGGUGGGGUAAAGGCCUACCAAGGCGACGAUCUGUAGCGGGUCUGAGAGGAUGAUCCGCCACACUGGGACUGGAACACGGCCCAGACUCCUACGGGAGGCAGCAGUGGGGAAUAUUGGACAAUGGGCGGAAGCCUGAUCCAGCCAUGCCGCGUGUGUGAAGAAGGCCUUUUGGUUGUAAAGCACUUUAAGCGAGGAGGAGGCUCUUAAGGUUAAUACCCUUGAUGAGUGGACGUUACUCGCAGAAUAAGCACCGGCUAACUCUGUGCCAGCCGCCGCGGUAAUAC